CUGCCAGCACAGCACUCCUGCCCAGUCUGUAAUUUAAACAUGACCUCCGCCCCAGCAUGACAGCCCGUGGACUCUGCAGCCCAGGCGUACACUCACUCCCCUGCUGGAGCUGCUGGAAUAAGGGAAGAAGUCUGGAGUCUAAUGGAACCCCUGGACCUUGGCUUCAUCCCUCCUAGUUCUGCUGGCUGAGGCUGGCACAGCUGGAGUCACCAUAAUUGUUUCCUUAGUUUGGAACUGAGGAGACCACGCCUCCUUGUGGCUGGGAGAUGCUCAGCACCUUGACCUUCAGGGAAAGGAAGAAUUUGCACCUUUGUAUGUGUUUUGUAUUUUAUUUUAUUUAUUUUUUGGUGGGGAGGGGUACUAGGGUUUGAAUUCAGGGGCACUUGACCACUGAGCUACCCCAGCCUUAUUUUGUAUUUUAUUUAUAAACAGGGUCUCACUAAGUUGCUUAGCGCCUUGCUUUUUUUUUUUUUUUUUUUUUGCUGAGGCUGUCUUUGAACUUGCAAUCCUCCUGCCUCAGCCUCCUGAGUCGCUGGGAUUACAGGCAAGAACCACCACACCCAGGUGUGUUUUGUAUUUUAAAUAAAAUACAUUCUGGCUACAUUUCAUGGUGUCUGCCUGUAAUUCCAGUGACUUGGGAGGCUGAGGCAGGAAGAUGGCAAGUUCAGAGCCUGCCUCAGCAACUUAGCCAGACCAGAUCUCUAAAUGAAAAAAAUAGAAAGCCUCUAGGAAUGUAGCUCAGUGGUAGAGUAUCCUGGGUUCAAUCUCCAGUACCAAAAAGAAUGAAUAUUAUACAAGUUGAUCUCUUAAGGAAUCUCAAAGUAAACUCUUAAAAAAAAUUAUUUUUUUUAAUGUUUUUAAGGUAUUGGGGAUUGCACGCAGGGGCUCUACCACUGAGCUACACCCCUUGCCCUGAAUUGCUGAUACUUGGCCUCCAACUUGCUGUCCUCCUGCCUCAGACUCUGUAAGGAUUAUAAUGAUGCUUCAUCACUGCACCAUGCAGAGUAAAUACUUUUGAAAAAAAGGAUUUUUAGAUUUUCAUGAAGCCAAAGCAAAUUUUCUGACUCUAAUUUAUUUUAAAACUUAACUACUCAGAAGAAUAUGAUGUCUGAAAAUUGUUGUCUUAGUUAUUUGCCUGCUCUGUGCCAGCUCUAGGUAAACAUGUUCCAUGAGGUUAUGAAACUUCCCCUUCUGUUAUGAUUCCAACAACCCUGUCAGGGCAAACAGGUAACCUAGUCUGUGAAAUGAACUGCAGAGGUAAAGAGCUCCUCUCUCGCUGGGCACAGUGGCACAUGCCUAUAAUCCCAGUGGCUCUGGAAGCCGAGGCAGGAGGAUUGUGAGUUCAAAGCCAGCCUUAGCAAUUUAGCGAGGCCCUAAGCAACUUAAUGAUACCCUAUCUCAAAAUAAAAUAUAAAAAAGAGCUGGUGAUGUGUCUCAGUCCUUAAGCCCCUCUGGGUUUUAUCUCUGGUACAAAAAAUAAAAUAAAAUAAAACAAAACAAAACAAAAAAACACCCAACAAAAACCCCUCCUCUCUCU
rnacentral:lncRNA from 1 species